AAGCUGAGGAAAAGAAACCAACAGGGAUUGCCUCAGUAACGGCGAGUGAAGCGGCAAAAGCUCAAAUUUGAAAUCUAGCACCUUCGGUGUUCGAGUUGUAAUUUGAAGAUGGUAACCUUGGGUUUGGCUCUUGUCUAUGUUCCUUGGAACAGGACGUCAUAGAGGGUGAGAAUCCCGUCUGAUGAGAUGCCCAUUCCUAUGUAAGGUGCUAUCGAAGAGUCGAGUUGUUUGGGAAUGCAGCUCUAAGUGGGUGGUAAAUUCCAUCUAAAGCUAAAUAUUGGCGAGAGACCGAUAGCGAACAAGUACAGUGAUGGAAAGAUGAAAAGAACUUUGAAAAGAGAGUGAAAAAGUACGUGAAAUUGUUGAAAGGGAAGGGCAUUAGAUCAGACUUGGUGUUUUACGAUUAUCUUCUCUUCUUGAGUUGUGCACUCGUAUUUCACUGGGCCAGCAUCGAUUCGGAUGGCAAGAUAAUGGCAGUUGAAUGUGGCUUCACUUCGGUGGAGUGUUAUAGCUUCUGCUGAUAUUGCCUGUCUGGAUCGAGGGCUGCGUCUUUGACUAGGA
rnacentral:rRNA from 1 species